rnacentral:rRNA from 1 species
UACAGAGGUGGCAAGCGUUGUUCGGAAUUACUGGGCGUAAAGGGCGCGUAGGCGGCCUUCUAAGUCAGACGUGAAAUCCCCAGGCUUAACUUGGGAACUGCGUCUGAUACUGGGAGGCUUGAGUGCGGGAGAGGGAUGCGGAAUUCCAGGUGUAGCGGUGAAAUGCGUAGAUAUCUGGAGGAACACCGGUGGCGAAGGCGGCAUCCUGGACCAAUUCUGACGCUGAGGAGCGAAAGCCAGGGGAGCAAACGGG